CCUACGGGAGGCAGCAGUGGGGAAUUUUGGACAAUGGGCGCAAGCCUGAUCCAGCAAUGCCGCGUGAGUGAAGAAGGCCUUCGGGUUGUAAAGCUCUUUUGUCAGGGAAGAAACGGUGAGGGCUAAUAUCCUUUGCUAAUGACGGUACCUGAAGAAUAAGCACCGGCUAACUACGUGCCAGCAGCCGCGGUAAUACGUAGGGUGCAAGCGUUAAUCGGAAUUACUGGGCGUAAAGCGUGCGCAGGCGGUUUUGUAAGUCUGAUGUGAAAUCCCCGGGCUCAACCUGGGAAUUGCAUUGGAGACUGCAAGGCUAGAAUCUGGCAGAGGGGGGUAGAAUUCCACGUGUAGCAGUGAAAUGCGUAGAUAUGUGGAGGAACACCGAUGGCGAAGGCAGCCCCCUGGGUCAAGAUUGACGCUCAUGCACGAAAGCGUGGGGAGCAAACAGGAUUAGAUACCCUGGUAGUCCACGCCCUAAACGAUGUCUACUAGUUGUCGGGUCUUAAUUGACUUGGUAACGCAGCUAACGCGUGAAGUAGACCGCCUGGGGAGUACGGUCGCAAGAUUAAAACUCAAAUGAAUUGACGG
rnacentral:rRNA from 1 species